ACUGGGUUAAAUAUUCAUUUGAAGUUAAAAUGUACAUGAAUAUAAUCUAAAUACAGCAGGGCUUAUAUUUUAACUAGUACCCAAAUUAUUCACACUUUUCAGAACUAAAUUUAGGCUUCCAUUUUUGGGUUGAAACUGAUAAAGCACAAAGCCCUACCACAACCCAAACACUGAAAAGGAAAAUAAAUUUUAAAAGCCCUCACAGCACAAAUUGAAAACAAGCUAAGAUCCUCAUGUAGACUGGAGAGAAAUGGCUCUCUUGCUCUGGUUUGCAUUUUAGUUCUCAUUUUUCAUGUUUUUUGCAAGCAGGUAGGAGCAAAGAUCACAAGUCCAGAUGUCUUGCUGCUUUCAAAUCUUCUUGAGUUUGAAUUAGAGGGAUGAGAAAAAGAGCAGACAAAAACAUGGAUAAAUACAAGAUAAAUUUUGAAAGAAAACUUUUAAAAACCAAUCAUGGUUGCUAAGUAACAAAAGCAUACUUAACCUUUGCUAAUGAUUAACAAACCACAAAAUUUGCACAAGCCAGGAAACAAGUAGCAAAGGCAUUUCUUUUUGGGAGUUUUACAGGUUUUUUUGCAGUUUUUGCUCUUCUAAAAUUUGCAAGGAGAUAAGAGGGAGGAAAUUAGAAAAUUACUGAGCUAAAGAAGGCUUUGUUCCCCUGUGAAAAACUAGCAAGAGAGGUUUGUGUUCAGAAGAUUUUUCCCUGAAUAAUACUCACCCUGAAAUGAGAUCUGAGCCUGAAUGUACCAAGCUACCUUUUGGGUUGGUGCCUGGUUUCCCAAGAUUUAUGUCACCUACUCAUCACUGCAAAGGCAUGGGGCAUGACCUUCACUUUGACUGUUCAGAGUCAAUUACGUUAAGAGAAGAAAACAGGAAAGAGGAGGAAAGAAAUGGGCACGUCCUGAUUGGGUUAAUAAGACAGGCAGCAUGCACAAGGCUGCUGAAAUUAGGGAAUGACCAGGACCUGAGGAACCUGCAAGAGUACCUGAAAGAAAAAGCCUAGGAAAAAGUAUAUAGAAGAAUAUACUGCCAAACUUCAUUAGAGAGAAUGGGAAUUUUCUAUAGUUCAUUAAAGGCAGCUUCCCAAUGUCUAAUAACUCUCACUGUGCUUUUCUACCAUGGACCAGCACACGCUAAUCUUAAACCCUUUUCAAACAUUCACAAUAUUCCAGAGCAAGGAGUU
rnacentral:lncRNA from 1 species